rnacentral:rRNA from 1 species
GACGAACGCUGGCGGCGUGCUUAACACAUGCAAGUCGAACGGAAAGGCCCUGCUUUUGUGGGGUGCUCGAGUGGCGAACGGGUGAGUAACACGUGAGUAACCUGCCCUUGACUUUGGGAUAACUUCAGGAAACUGGGGCUAAUACCGGAUAGGAGCUCCUGCUGCAUGGUGGGGGUUGGAAAGUUUCGGCGGUUGGGGAUGGACUCGCGGCUUAUCAGCUUGUUGGUGGGGUAGUGGCUUACCAAGGUUUUGACGGGUAGCCGGCCUGAGAGGGUGACCGGCCACAUUGGGACUGAGAUACGGCCCAGACGCCUACGGGAGGCAGCAGUGGGGAAUAUGGCACAAUGGGCGGAAGCCUGAUGCAGCAACGCCGCGUGCGGGAUGACGGCCUUCGGGUUGUAAACCGCUUUCGCCGGUGACGAAGCGUGAGUGACGGUAAUGGAUAAAGAAGCACCGGCUAACUACGUG